GCCAGCAUAGUGUAGUGGUUUGAGCAUUGGAUUAUAAUUCUGGAGACCAGGGUUCAAAUCCCUGAUUAGCCA
rnacentral:tRNA from 1 species